rnacentral:lncRNA from 1 species
CUGGACUGUGGGAACAAGAGAGCUGUAACACAUCCCUGUUCACCAAGCUGUGAGUGGCAGAAAUAAAAGAGCUCGUAACAUGCUCCCACUUGCAGAGCUACAGGAGUGAAGAGCCGUGACACUUCUGAGGGCCCAGAUAAUGGGACUCCCCAAGCAAAAGCUAUAACACUCCUUGGGGUGCUGCAAUUGCUGACAUUUCUGAGUUUUUGGAUGCCACCACGUUCUCCUCUUCUACAUGCUGGCACCCAAUGUGGAAGCCACUCGCAGCAUGCCUGGCUCAGCCACGGGCUAAGUGUGGAGCUGUGGUGGGCACAGGAUCCAAGUGGGUGUGAGCUGAGCACAGCCUGCUGGGCCAAGCGGGCAGAGUGAGCCCAGUGGGUCCAAGAGAAGCCCUGGACAGAGGUCACAGUGGCCACAGGGAUUUUUGCCUGACAAAGUGGCACUGAAGGAAUCCUGUGUCAUUUCUGGGAUCUUGUCCGGGAUCUGCAGAAGGAUUUUCUCUUACAAAAAAGGGAGAACAUGACAACCUGUUUAUUGAAAGGCCAGAGUUCAUAAAGUAGAAACUCACUCUAAGGAACAAUGGAAAAGAAAAUCUUCAAGAAUUUGCAGUAUUUUCUACGGAAAACGAGGGGUCCAUGGGGACCAUUGAUGCUGCCACGGAUGUUUCCUGGGGAAUUUGCUUGGUGUUUGACGUGAAAAAAAUUGGAGUCUCACAGAAGCUCUCUGUGCACAGAUCUUCUAAUGAACAAGGCAUGGCCAGGAGCCCCGGUCGAUUGGAAGGCCACUGCUUCAGAUACCAGCACACAGUGAAGUUUGCCAGGCGCAACAUCAAACAAUUGCUGUUAGGAUCAUAACAAUAUUCUAAUAUUGUUAGGAUCUAGGGUGGAACAUUUUUAAGUGGUAUAAAGCAGGCUGCCCUGCCAUCUUGUGGCUAACACAGAGAAGAAUUUCCUGUUCAAAAUGGAUACAAACCUGAUCUUUAUAGUUUGAGUGUCCAUAUUUCAAAUGAAAUGUUCCCAAGAAUCAGAAGAGAGUGGCAGAGGCCUUCCACUUGGCCCAAUUCAACCACCCCCAUGGUGCUCAUCAGACACUUACCUGGAACUCGCAGUAAAAAUUCAUGAGACACAUUCUGUUCAUCAGAUGUACUGAUUCACAUAUUUCCAGUGUAUAUAGUUCAACAGCUUUUGACAAAUGCAAACAAAAAUGUGACCACCACUACAAAUAACAGUUUCCUUCACCUCAAAAAUUCCCCUCAUGCCUUUGGCCAUAAACUCUCACUCCCUGUGACAACACCCCUAACUUCUGGCACAUUUUGUUUCCUGUAUGACUGCUCUAGAAUUUUCUAUAAGUUGAAUCAUACAAUAUUUU